rnacentral:rRNA from 1 species
UACGGGGGGAGCAAGCGUUUGUUCGGAUUUACUGGGCGUAAAGGGCGCGUAGGCGGCCAGCACAAGUCAGUUGUGAAAUCUCCGAGCUUAACUCGGAAAAGUCAACUGAUACUGUGCGGCUAGAGUGCAGAAGGGGCAACUGGAAUUCUUGGUGUAGCGGUGAAAUGCGUAGAUAUCAAGAGGAACACCUGCGGCGAAGGCGGGUUGCUGGGCUGACACGUGACGCUGAGGCGCGAAAGCUAGGGGAGCAAACAGG